rnacentral:misc_RNA from 1 species
GAUGGAAGAACGUAGCGAAAUGCGAUACGUAAUGUGAAUUGCAGAAUUCAGUGAAUCAUCGAAUCUUUGAACGCAUAUUGCGCUCUCUGGUAUUCCGGAGAGCAUGCUUGUUUGAGUGUCAGUAAACACCUCAACUUCCAUAUCUUUUUUGAAAUGGGAGUUGGACUUGAGUGAUCCCAACGCUUUUCCUCACCGAAAAGUGGCGGGUUACUUGAAAUGCAGGUGCAGCUGGACUUUUCUCUGAGCUAUAAGCAUAUCUAUUUAGUCUGCCUAAAAAACAGAUUAUUACCUUUGCUGCAGCUAACAUAAAGGAGAUUAGUUCUUGUGCUGACUGAUGCAGGAUUCACAAAGACAGGCUUCGGCCGACUUUGUAAACUCGAUCUCAAAUCAAGUAAGACUACCCGCUGAACUUAAGCAUAUCAAUAAGCGGAGGA